rnacentral:rRNA from 1 species
GAUGAACGCUAGCUACAGGCUUAACACAUGCAAGUCGAGGGGAAACGACAUCGAAAGCUUGCUUUUGAUGGGCGUCGACCGGCGCACGGGUGAGUAACGCGUAUCCAACCUGCCCACCACUUGGGGAUAACCUUGCGAAAGUAAGACUAAUACCCAAUGACGUCUCUAGAAGACAUCUGAAAGAGAUUAAAGAUUUAUCGGUGAUGGAUGGGGAUGCGUCUGAUUAGCUUGUUGGCGGGGUAACGGCCCACCAAGGGGACGAUCAGUAGGGGUUCUAGGAGGAAGGUCCCCCACAUUGGAACUGAGACACGGUCCAAACUCCUACGGGAGGCAGCAGUGAGGAAUAUUGGUCAAUGGGCGAGAGCCUGAACCAGCCAAGUAGCGUGCAGGAUGACGGCCCUAUGGGUUGUAAACUGCUUUUAUAAGGGAAUAAAGUGAGUCUCGUGAGACUUUUUGCAUGUACCUUAUGAAUAAGGACCGGCUAAUUCCGUGCCAGCCGCCGCAGUAA